AGAUUAAGCCAUGCAUGUCUCAGUGCAAGCCGUCCGCUAUUUGUUUAGUACACGGUGAAACCGCGAAAGGCUCAUUAAAUCAGUUAUGGUUCCUUAGAUCGUGCCCACGUUACUUGGAUAACUGUGGUAAUUCUAGAGCUAAUACAUGCCGACAGAGUUCUGACCAGCGCCAAG
rnacentral:rRNA from 1 species